UACGGAGGGGGCUAGCGUUGUUCGGAAUUACUGGGCGUAAAGCGCGCGUAGGCGGACCUGCAAGUCGGGGGUGAAAGCCCGAGGCUCAACCUCGGAACUGCCUUCGAUACUGCGGGUCUCGAGUCCGGGAGAGGUGAGUAGGAAUUCCCAGUGUAGCGGUGAAAUGCGUAGAUAUUGGGAGGAACACCAGUGGCGAAGGCGGCUCACUGGACCGGUACUGACGCUGAGGCGCGAAAGCGUGGGGAGCAAACGGG
rnacentral:rRNA from 1 species